UACGAAGGGGGCUAGCGUUGUUCGGAAUUACUGGGCGUAAAGCGUACUUAGGCGGAUUGUUAAGUGAGGGGUGAAAUCCCGAGGCUCAACCUCGGAACUGCCUUUCAUACUGGCAAUCUUGAGUCCGGGAGAGGUGAGUGGAACUCCUAGUGUAGAGGUGAAAUUCGUAGAUAUUAGGAAGAACACCAGUGGCGAAGGCGGCUCACUGGCCCGGAACUGACGCUGAGGUACGAAAGCGUGGGGAGCAAACAGG
rnacentral:rRNA from 1 species